GCCUUCGUGGUGUAGUGGUCAGCACGCUCGACGUGCACUCGAGAGGUCCGUCGUUCGAAUCCCGGCGAGGGCA
rfam:Stegodyphus mimosarum contig60321, whole genome shotgun sequence.